UAGGGAAUCUUCGGCAAUGGACGAAAGUCUGACCGAGCAACGCCGCGGGAGUGAAGAAGGUUUUCGGAUCGUAAAACUCUGUUGGUAGAGAAGAACGUUGGUGAGAGUGGAAAGCUCAUCAAGUGACGGUAACUACCCAGAAAGGGACGGCUAACUACGUGCAG
rnacentral:rRNA from 1 species